rnacentral:rRNA from 1 species
AGAGUUUGAUCCUGGCUCAGGAUGAACUUUAGCGACAGGCUUAACACAUGCAAGUCGAGGGGCAGCACAGGUAGCAAUACCGGGUGGCGACCGGCGCACUGGUGAGUAACGCGUAUGCAACUUACCUAUCAGAGGGGGAUAACCCGGCGAAAGUCGGACUAAUACCGCAUGAAGCAGGGGCCCCGCAUGGGGAUAUUUGCUAAAGAUUCAUCGCUGAUAGAUAGGCAUGCGUUCCAUUAGGCAGUUGGCGGGGUAACGGCCCACCAAACCGACGAUGGAUAGGGGUUCUGAGAGGAAGGUCCCCCACAUUGGUACUGAGACACGGACCAAACUCCUACGGGAGGCAGCAGUGAGGAAUAUUGGUCAAUGGCCGAGAGGCUGAACCAGCCAAGUCGCGUGAGGGAUGAAGGUUCUAUGGAUCGUAAACCUCUUUUAUAAGGGAAUAAAGUGCGGGACGUGUCCCGUUUUGUAUGUACCUUAUGAAUAAGGAUCGGCUAACUCCGUGCCAGCAGCCGCGGUAAUACGGAGGAUCCGAGCGUUAUCCGGAUUUAUUGGGUUUAAAGGGUGCGUAGGCGGCCUUUUAAGUCAGCGGUGAAAGUCUGUGGCUCAACCAUAGAAUUGCCGUUGAAACUGGGGGGCUUGAGUAUGUUUGAGGCAGGCGGAAUGCGUGGUGUAGCGGUGAAAUGCAUAGAUAUCACGCAGAACCCCGAUUGCGAAGGCAGCCUGCCAAGCCAUGACUGACGCUGAUGCACGAAAGCGUGGGGAUCAAACAGGAUUAGAUACCCUGGUAGUCCACGCAGUAAACGAUGAUCACUAGCUGUUUGCGAUACACUGUAAGCGGCACAGCGAAAGCGUUAAGUGAUCCACCUGGGGAGUACGCCGGCAACGGUGAAACUCAAAGGAAUUGACGGGGGCCCGCACAAGCGGAGGAACAUGUGGUUUAAUUCGAUGAUACGCGAGGAACCUUACCCGGGUUUGAACGCAUUCGGACCGAGGUGGAAACACCUUUUCUAGCAAUAGCCGUUUGCGAGGUGCUGCAUGGUUGUUGUCAGCUCGUGCCGUGAGGUGUCGGCUUAAGUGCCAUAACGAGCGCAACCCUUGCCACUAGUUACUAACAGGUAAAGCUGAGGACUCUGGUGGGACUGCCAGCGUAAGCUGCGAGGAAGGCGGGGAUGACGUCAAAUCAGCACGGCCCUUACAUCCGGGGCGACACACGUGUUACAAUGGCGUGGACAAAGGGAGGCCACCUGGUGACAGGGAGCGAAUCCCCAAACCACGUCUCAGUUCGGAUCGGAGUCUGCAACCCGACUCCGUGAAGCUGGAUUCGCUAGUAAUCGCGCAUCAGCCAUGGCGCGGUGAAUACGUUCCCGGGCCUUGCACUCACCGCCCGUCAAG